CAGGCUUAACACAUGCAAGUCGAGGGGCAGCAUGGUCUUAGCUUGCUAAGGCCGAUGGCGACCGGCGCACGGGUGAGUAACACGUAUCCAACCUGCCGUCUACUCUUGGACAGCCUUCUGAAAGGAAGAUUAAUACAAGAUGGCAUCAUGAGUCCGCAUGUUCACAUGAUUAAAGGUAUUCCGGUAGACGAUGGGGAUGCGUUCCAUUAGAUAGUAGGCGGGGUAACGGCCCACCUAGUCUUCGAUGGAUAGGGGUUCUGAGAGGAAGGUCCCCCACAUUGGAACUGAGACACGGUCCAAACUCCUACGGGAGGCAGCAGUGAGGAAUAUUGGUCAAUGGGCGAGAGCCUGAACCAGCCAAGUAGCGUGAAGGAUGACUGCCCUAUGGGUUGUAAACUUCUUUUAUAAAGGAAUAAAGUCGGGUAUGGAUACCCGUUUGCAUGUACUUUAUGAAUAAGGAUCGGCUAACUCCGUGCCAGCAGCCGCGGUAAUACGGAGGAUCCGAGCGUUAUCCGGAUUUAUUGGGUUUAAAGGGAGCGUAGAUGGAUGUUUAAGUCAGUUGUGAAAGUUUGCGGCUCAACCGUAAAAUUGCAGUUGAUACUGGAUAUCUUGAGUGCAGUUGAGGCAGGCGGAAUUCGUGGUGUAGCGGUGAAAUGCUUAGAUAUCACGAAGAACUCCGAUUGCGAAGGCAGCCUGCUAAGCUGCAACUGACAUUGAGGCUCGAAAGUGUGGGUAUCAAACAGGAUUAGAUACCCUGGUAGUCCACACGGUAAACGAUGAAUACUCGCUGUUUGCGAUAUACUGCAAGCGGCCAAGCGAAAGCGUUAAGUAUUCCACCUGGGGAGUACGCCGGCAACGGUGAAACUCAAAGGAAUUGACGGGGGCCCGCACAAGCGGAGGAACAUGUGGUUUAAUUCGAUGAUACGCGAGGAACCUUACCCGGGCUUAAAUUGCAGAUGAAUUACGGUGAAAGCCGUAAGCCGCAAGGCAUCUGUGAAGGUGCUGCAUGGUUGUCGUCAGCUCGUGCCGUGAGGUGUCGGCUUAAGUGCCAUAACGAGCGCAACCCUUGUUGUCAGUUACUAACAGGUUCCGCUGAGGACUCUGACAAGACUGCCAUCGUAAGAUGUGAGGAAGGUGGGGAUGACGUCAAAUCAGCACGGCCCUUACGUCCGGGGCUACACGCGUGUUACAAUGGGGGGUACAGAGGGCCGCUACCACGCGAGUGGAUGCCAAUCCCAAAAACCUCUCUCAGUUCGGACUGGAGUCUGCAACCCGACUCCACGAAGCUGGAUUCGCUAGUAAUCGCGCAUCAGCCACGGCGCGGUGAAUACGUUCCCGGGCCUUGUACACACCGCCCGUCAAGCCAUGGGAGCCGGGGGUACCUGAAGUGCGUAACCGCGAGGAGCGCCCUAGGGUAAAACUGGUGACUGGGGCUAAGU
rnacentral:rRNA from 1 species